GCUGGGUGUGGUGGCACAUGCCUGUAAUCCCAGCUACUCGGGAGGCUGAGGCAGGAGACUCGCUUGAAGCUGGGAGGCGGAGCUUGCAGUGAGCAGAGAUCAUGCCACUGCACUCCAGCCUGGGCGACAGACUCCGUCUCAAAAAAAAAGAAGACAGAGUCUCACCCUGUUGCCUAGGCUGGAGUGCAGUGGCAUGAUCUCUGCUCACUGCAACCUCUGCCUCCCGGAUUCAAGCGAUUCUCAUGCCUCA
rnacentral:SRP_RNA from 1 species